rnacentral:rRNA from 1 species
UGCUCCUGGAUUCAGCGGCGGACGGGUGAGUAAUGCCUAGGAAUCUGCCUGGUAGUGGGGGAUAACGUCCGGAAACGGGCGCUAAUACCGCAUACGUCCUGAGGGAGAAAGUGGGGGAUCUUCGGACCUCACGCUAUCAGAUGAGCCUAGGUCGGAUUAGCUAGUUGGUGGGGUAAAGGCCUACCAAGGCGACGAUCCGUAACUGGUCUGAGAGGAUGAUCAGUCACACUGGAACUGAGACACGGUCCAGACUCCUACGGGAGGCAGCAGUGGGGAAUAUUGGACAAUGGGCGAAAGCCUGAUCCAGCCAUGCCGCGUGUGUGAAGAAGGUCUUCGGAUUGUAAAGCACUUUAAGUUGGGAGGAAGGGCAGUAAGUUAAUACCUUGCUGUUUUGACGUUACCAACAGAAUAAGCACCGGCUAACUUCGUGCCAGCAGCCGCGGUAAUACGAAGGGUGCAAGCGUUAAUCGGAAUUACUGGGCGUAAAGCGCGCGUAGGUGGUUCAGCAAGUUGGAUGUGAAAUCCCCGGGCUCAACCUGGGAACUGCAUCCAAAACUACUGAGCUAGAGUACGGUAGAGGGUGGUGGAAUUUCCUGUGUAGCGGUGAAAUGCGUAGAUAUAGGAAGGAACACCAGUGGCGAAGGCGACCACCUGGACUGAUACUGACACUGAGGUGCGAAAGCGUGGGGAGCAAACAGGAUUAGAUAU